rnacentral:lncRNA from 1 species
AAAGAGAUUUGAAUAAUUAAAAACCAAAACUAAACUUAUUUAACUAGAGAUACUAUGUAAGUGUGUGAAAGUGAUCAAAUACAAGAUACACGCAUAUGAGACUAUAGGUAAAACGAAAGUGCAAUCGAACUAACUAAGUACUAAUUAUACAAACAGGGAGAAAAUCCCUACUUUUAUUUAUGGAAACGUCAGAACCGUCGUGUAGUCCUUGUGAGCCACCAAAAAUGAGCAGCUACCUAGAACCUGGAGGGGCGCAAAACAAAAGGAUGAGUGGGCAAAAACGAAGCUUUAGAAAAACAUAUUUAUCUUUAUAAACAUAAUAACCACUCUUCGUAAAACCCGUAUAAUUUCUAGGAAAUAGUAAUAUGCACAUAUAUAAAAACAAUGUUUAAGAGCAGUUAAAAUAAAAUUAUGCCAUGUCAUAACGUUCAACAUUAAAAUAAGUAAGCCAGGUGAAAUGUCUAUAUAAAUUAGCAUGCUAGUCGGAUUCACCUAACGUGACCUACACUACUGGACCUAUAGCUCAUCAACAUAUGUUUGCACACAAGUCGGAGUCAUCUAAUGUGACCUGUAUGACAGG